rnacentral:rRNA from 1 species
AACGCGAAGAACCUUACCUGGGCUUGAACCGCUGGUGACCAACGGUAGAAAUAUCGUCUUCUCGCAAGAGACACCAGUAGAGGUGCUGCAUGGCUGUCGUCAGCUCGUGCCGUGAGGUGUUGGGUUAAGUCCCGCAACGAGCGCAACCCUUAUUCUUAGUUGCCACCCGCAAGGGGGAACUCUAAGAGGACUGCUCCGGAUAACGGAGAGGAAGGUGGGGAUGACGUCAAGUCAGCAUGGCCUUUAUGUCCAGGGCUACACACGUGUUACAAUGCAUGGUACAAACUGUUGCGAACCCGCGAGGGGGAGCUAAUCGGAAAAAGCCAUGCUCAGUUCGGAUUGCAGUCUGCAACUCGACUGCAUGAAGCCGGAAUCGCUAGUAAUGGCGUAUCAGAACGACGCCGUGAAUACGUUCCCGGGCCUUGUACACACCGGUACUA